rnacentral:rRNA from 1 species
GACGAACGCUGGCGGCGUGCUUAACACAUGCAAGUCGAACGGAAAGGCCCUGCUUGCGGGGUACUCGAGUGGCGAACGGGUGAGUAACACGUGGGUGAUCUGCCCUGCACUUCGUGAUAUGCCUGCGAAACUGUGUCUAAUACCGGAUAUGAGCCAUUCUUAGUGUUAUGGUUGGAAAGUUUUUUGGGUGUAGGAUGAGCUCGCGGCCUAUCAGGUUGUUGGUGGGGUAAUGGCCUACCAAGGCGGCGAAGGGUAGCCGGCCUGGGAGGGUGGACGGCCACAAUGGGGAUGGGGUAAGGGCCAGAAUUCCACGGGGGGGAGGAGGGGGGGAAAAUGGAAAAAGGGGGGAAGGCUGGUGCAGGGAAGGCGGGUGGGGGGAGAAGGGCUUCGGGUUGUAAACGCGUUUCGGUAGGGGAGGAGGUGUGAGUGACGGUAACGAGAUAAGAAGCACCGGCUAACUACGUG